rnacentral:rRNA from 1 species
UACGAAGGGUGCAAACGUUGCUCGGAAUUACUGGGCGUAAAGCGCACGUAGGCGGCUUUUCAAGUCGGAUGUGAAAUCCCUCGGCUUAACCAAGGAAGUGCAUCCGAAACUGGAAGGCUUGAGUACUUAAGAGGAUCGCGGAAUUCCCGGUGUAGAGGUGAAAUUCGUAGAUAUCGGGAGGAACACCAGUGGCGAAGGCGGCGAUCUGGGAAGAUACUGACGCUGAGGUGCGAAAGCGUGGGGAGCAAACAGG